rnacentral:rRNA from 1 species
AUUGAACGCUGGCGGCAUGCCUUACACAUGCAAGUCGAACGGCAGCAUGGAGAGCUUGCUCUCUGAUGGCGAGUGGCGAACGGGUGAGUAAUGCAUCGGAACGUACCGUGUAAUGGGGGAUAACGUAGCGAAAGUUACGCUAAUACCGCAUACGACCUGAGGGUGAAAGCAGGGGAUCGCAAGACCUUGCGUUAUACGAGCGGCCGAUGUCAGAUUAGCUAGUUGGUGAGGUAAAGGCUCACCAAGGCGACGAUCUGUAGCGGGUCUGAGAGGAUGAUCCGCCACACUGGGACUGAGCCACGGCCCAGACUCCUACGGGAGGCAGCAGUGGGGAAUUUUGGACAAUGGGGGCAACCCUGAUCCAGCCAUGCCGCGUGAGUGAAGAAGGCCUUCGGGUUGUAAAGCUCUUUCGGCCGGGAAGAAAUCGCACAGGCUAAUACUCUGUGUGGAUGACGGUACCGGCAUAAGAAGCACCGGCUAACUUCGUGCCAGCAGCCGCCGUAA